rnacentral:tRNA from 1 species
AAGAACGUGGUGUAACUGGAUAACACAUCGGUCUACGAAACCGAAAAGUGGGGGUUCGAGUCCCUUCGUUCUUGCCA